rnacentral:rRNA from 1 species
GACGAACGCUGGCGGCGUGCUUAACACAUGCAAGUCGAACGAAGUGGCGAACGGGUGAGUAACGCGUAAUCAACCUGCCCUUCAGAGGGGGACAACAGUUGGAAACGACUGCUAAUACCGCCUACUGAAGAAGGGGAUUGCGUCUGAUUAGCUAGUUGGAGGGGUAACGGCCCACCAAGGCGAUGAUCAGUAGGCGGGCUGGGAGGAUGAACGGCCAAAUCGGGAAUGAGAAACGGCCCCGACUCCUAAGGGAGGCAGCAGGGGGGAAUCUUCCGAAAUGGAGGAAAGUCUGACGGAGCAACGCCGCGUGAGUGAUGACGGCCUUCGGGUUGUAAAGCUCUGUUAAUCGGGACGCGGUACCGGAAUAGAAAGCCACGGCUAACUACGUGCCAGCAGCCGCGGUAAUUC